CUCAGGCCAGUGUGGAACUCGGUGUGAAGCUGUAGCAGACACUGAGCUCACAGUAGCUUCCGAUCUCGGCCUCCCAAAUGAGGGCAUUAGAAGCAUGAACCAGCACAACGGCAGACAGGCUGCAUGUUGACAAAGAUGCACAGAUUGGGGUUGGAUGUCACUCGGCAGAAGGAAUCUCACCUAGAGCACUUGCGGCCCAGGAUUCAAUUCCCAGCACCACCUACAUGCAGAUACAAUAACAGAGCGGAGCUACAAAGCAUCUUGCUCUCGUUGGAAGCAGGGAAGGAGUAACAGGUAAAACUUAGGGCACCCCAGAGUCUGGGAUUCUGAGCUACGGUUACAGCUACGCAGGAGCAAGGCUGAACCUUCUACUGAUAGGAAAAGAGGAAGAACAGAGUGUACCAC